AACGUAGGUCACAAGCGUUGUCCGGAAUUACUGGGUGUAAAGGGAGCGCAGGCGGGAGAACGAGUUGGAAGUGAAAUCCAUGGGCUCAACCCAUGAACUGCUUUCAAAACUGUUUUUCUUGAGUAGUGCAGAGGUAGGCGGAAUUCCCGGUGUAGCGGUGGAAUGCGUAGAUAUCGGGAGGAACACCAGUGGCGAAGGCGGCCUACUGGGCACCAACUGACGCUGAGGCUCGAAAGUGUGGGUAGCAAACAGG
rnacentral:rRNA from 1 species